CCUACGGGCGGCAGCAGUGAGGAAUAUUGGUCAAUGGACGAGAGUCUGAACCAGCCAAGUAGCGUGAAGGAUGACUGCCCUAUGGGUUGUAAACUUCUUUUAUAUGGGAAUAAAAUGUUCCACGUGUGGGAUUUUGUAUGUACCAUAUGAAUAAGGAUCGGCUAACUCCGUGCCAGCAGCCGCGGUAAUACGGAGGAUCCGAGCGUUAUCCGGAUUUAUUGGGUUUAAGGGGAGCGUAGGGGGAUUGUUAAGUCAGUUGUGAAAGUUUGCGGCUCAACCGUAAAAUUGCAGUUGAAACUGGCAGUCUUGAGUACAGUAGAGGUGGGCGGAAUUCGUGGUGUAGCGGUGAAAUGCUUAGAUAUCACGAAGAACUCCGAUUGCGAAGGCAGUUCACUGGACUGCAACUGACACUGAGGCUCGAAAGUGUGGGUAUCAAACAGGAUUAGAUACCCGAGUAGUC
rnacentral:rRNA from 1 species